UAGAGUUUCGGGCGCCGCCGGCCACGGCGACCUCGCCAUAAUUCGGCCGUCAUCCCGCAAGCCAUGAUCCGCAGCCAACACCUCCUCCUCCUCCCGACGCCGUCACACCUCCGCCCCCGUAUUCGCACAGAUAUGCCAGUGGAGAAGCUCAUCGCCAUGUUGCAGCUUCAUGGCCUCAACAUCUCCGGCACCAAGCACAACCGUGGAGCCAGGGUGGGAGCUAGUCUUGUUCCCAAUGAACUUAGUUGCAACGUCAACAGAGGGACGAGGACGAUGCUGGUGGCUUCUUCUCUACAGUGGAUGACCAGGAUGCACACACGAUUUGGCCACGCCAUCGAUGAUGUACUCGGCGGCCAUAAGACUAUGUGUAGAGACUAGAGAAAAUUGCAUCUACUUGUUUGCUCUUCUUCAAAUAAAUUCUUUUGUCGUUCAGAGUUGAAACUGAUUGCGUGCAUGUGACCGAAUAGUUUAUUGCUCCCCUUCAAACAUUUUUUUUUUU